ACGGGUGAGUAACACGUAGGUAAUCUACCUUUGGAUGGGGAAUAACAACCGGAAACGGUUGCUAAUACCGCAUAAUGCAGCGGCACCUAAUGGUGACAGUUGUUAAAGCGGGGGAUCGAAAGACCUCGCGUCUGAAGAGGAGCCUGCGGCGGAUUAGCUAGUUGGUAAGGUAACGGCUUACCAAGGCAACGAUCCGUAGCCGGCCUGAGAGGGCGGUCGGCCACACUGACACUGACAUACGGGUCAGACUCCUACGGGAGGCAGCAGUCGGGAAUUUUGGGCAAUGGGCGAAAGCCUGACCCAGCAACGCCGCGUGAAGGAUGAAAUCCUUCGGGAUGUAAACUUCGCAAGAACGGGAAGAAUAAGUCUGCGCAAAUAUCGCAGGCGAUGACGGUACCGUUUGUAAGCUCCGGCUAACUCCGUGCCAGCAGCCGCGGUAAUACGGGGGGAGCAAGCGUUGUUCGGAUUUACUGGGCGUAAAGGGCGCGUAGGCGGCCACUGCAAGUCAAUUGUGAAAUCUCCGGGCUUAACUCGGAAAGGUCAACUGGUACUGCAGGGCUAGAGUGCGGAAGGGGCAACUGGAA
rnacentral:rRNA from 1 species